rnacentral:rRNA from 1 species
UACGUAGGGGGCAAGCGUUGUCCGGAAUCAUUGGGCGUAAAGCGCGUGUAGGCGGCUGAGUAAGUCUGCUCUGAAAGCCCGGGGCUCAACCCCGGGAGGCGGGUGGAUACUGCUCAGCUCGAGUCCGGAAGAGGAGAGUGGAAUUCCUGGUGUAGCGGUGAAAUGCGCAGAUAUCAGGAAGAACACCCGUGGCUAAGGCGGCUCUCUAGUACGGUACUGACGCUGAGACGCGAAAGCGUGGGGAGCGAACAGG